ACGAAGGGGGCUAGCGUUGUUCGGAAUUACUGGGCGUAAAGCGCGCGCAGGCGGUCCUUUAAGUCGGGGGUGAAAGCCCAGAGCUCAACUCUGGAACUGCCUUCGAAACUAGAGGACUUGGGUACGGGAGAGGUGAGUGGAAUUCCGAGUGUAGAGGUGAAAUUCGUAGAUAUUCGGAAGAACACCAGUGGCGAAGGCGGCUCACUGGCCCGUUACCGACGCUCAGGCGCGACAGCGUGGGGAGCAAACAGGA
rnacentral:rRNA from 1 species